rnacentral:rRNA from 1 species
GACGAACGCUGGCGGCGUGCUUAACACAUGCAAGUCGAACGGAAAGGCCCUGCUUUUGUGGGGUGCUCGAGUGGCGAACGGGUGAGUAACAAGUGAGUAACCUGCCCUUGACUUUGGGAUAACUUCAGGAAACUGGGGCUAAUACCGGGUAGGAGCUCCUGCUGCAUGGGGGGGGUUGGAAAGUUUGGGCGGGUGGGGAUGGACUCGCGGCUUAUUAGCUUGUUGGUGGGGGAGUGGCUUAGCAAGGCUUGGACGGGUGGCCGGCCUGAGCGGGUGACCGGCCACAUUGGGACUGGGAUACGGCCCAGACUCCUACGGGGGGCAGCGGUGGGAAUAAUUGCCCAAUGGGCGGAGGCCUGAGGCAGAAACGCCGCGUGCGGGAUGCCGGCCUUCGGGUUGUAAACCGCUUUCGCCUGUGACGAAGCGUUAGUGACGGUAAUGGGUAAAGAAGCACCGGCUAACUACGUG